CCCCUAGAUGUUCUGGGCCGCACGCGCGCUACACUGAACAGUUCAACAAGUCUUAACCUUGGCCGAUAGGUCUGGGUAAUCUUUGAACGCUGUUCGUGAUUGGGAUAGACCUUUGCAAUUAUGGGUCUUCAACGAUGAAUUCCUAGUAAACGCAAGUCAUCAGCUUGCAUUGAUUACGUCCCUGCCCUUUGUACACACCGCCCGUCGCACCUACCGAUUGAAUGGUCCGGUGAAAUCUCGGGACGGCGGCUUGGUCGCUUGCGUCCGACUGCUGAAACUUGAUUAAACCAUAUCAUUUAGAGGAAGGUGAAGUCGUANCA
rnacentral:rRNA from 1 species